GGGUCAGUAGGUUGGUCGUGCCACCGGUACGUACUGGUCUCACUGAUUCCUCCUUCCUGAAGAACUGUAAUGCCAUUAAUUUGGUGUUGCGGGGAAACAGGACUGUUACUUUGAAAAAAUUAGAGUGUUUAAGGCAAGCUAACGCUUGAAUACAUUAGCAUGGAAUAAUGAAAUAGGACGAUCGAUCCUAUUUUGUUGGUUUCUAGGAUUGACGUA
rnacentral:rRNA from 1 species